GGACUUCUGAGGAGUCCCACAAUAGGACGAAACAGCAGUCCAAUGC
rfam:Schistosoma rodhaini strain Burundi genome assembly, scaffold: SROB_scaffold0011146